rnacentral:rRNA from 1 species
CAGCCGCCACGGGAAUACGUAGGGUGCGAGCGUUAAUCGGAAUUACUGGGCGUAAAGCGUGCGCAGGCGGCUUUGCAAGACAGAUGUGAAAUCCCCGGGCUCAACCUGGGAACUGCAUUUGUGACUGCAAGGCUAGAGUGCGGCAGAGGGAGAUGGAAUUCCGCGUGUAGCAGUGAAAUGCGUAGAUAUGCGGAGGAACACCGAUGGCGAAGGCAAUCUCCUGGGCCUGCACUGACGCUCAUGCACGGAAGCGUGGGGAGCAAACAGGAUUAGAUACCCCCGUAGUCCCUGUCUCUUAUAC